UUUGUGACAGCUGUCCUAUCCGCGAGAAUGUGGACUGUUUGACUAGGCUACAUGCCUACCUGGUGGAAAUCCAAGGAGGGUCUCAUUUACCUCACUGAGCAGAAUACGCGAGGAUAGCCGCAGUUUUCCGGGCAUUCUGGACCACCCUGAGACACAGCAUCAGAGGGGUCCCUCAUCAUGAUGCAGAGACAUUGCCACUGUCUGUUGAAGAGACUGACCCUUUUCAUGGAAGCUCAGUACAGCCUUUCGUGGAUGUGUAACCUGUGUGGUUCAGCCCUGCACACGCCCGGACUCGAACCUGCAAAAGAGCAGCACCUUGAAUUGGGAGUCGAGCGUGCUGACAAUCGAACUAAAAGCCCAGGCUGCUAGCUUUCAUGCCAGCAGCACUUUUGAGGCAUCGGAGAGUGAGGCUUACCAAGCUACCAAGCUAAGCUAGCUGGCAUCCGUUACAGAUGCAGAGGCUAAAACAAGUGCCUUCCCACAUCCUUAUAACGGAGUUCCCACUCAUUUCCAUUGAGAACAUUUCAAACCUCUUUACCAACAAGAACCUACACAUGGGUGUACACAAAAUUGGUCCAGAUUUUGAGCUCAAUUGUUGAAGGAGAAGUAAACCAUAAGCUAUUCCUAUUAGGUUGUGUGAAAUUAAGUGGAAACUAUCACAUUGCAGAAAGUUGCACAACAUAACGUUUUCGUGGAAACUACUGGCUGCAUGAGAGGGGAUCCUGUAUGACUAUUUCAAGCAGCGGUGCUAGGCAUGAGCCUCAUGAGCUUCACAACUCAGCUGGCUGGGCUGAACCCAUGAACUUUUACUCCAGCUAUGUUCCUGAAGGGCAUUUCCUGCCAAGCCUUAGUGGACACGGGGUUCCACCAUCUCUCUUUUUCGUCCCGGAACACUGCCCUAGACUGAAGAACCUUCUAUAUAGGCCUACUAUACUACUAUACUAUACUAUA